rnacentral:misc_RNA from 1 species
GGGGAGGGCAGUAGUAAUUGGCAAAUGUAACAGUCGUAAACUCAUUCGUUUCCUUGUUCUUUCUCCUCAUUUGUUUUUCUUUUCUUUUUGUUUGUGCAUAUGUGUUAAAUGCUCUUCAUCCCCUGACUUCCACAAUGUUCGAGUGCUUCCCCUUGCAGAGCAGCCCGUCGCAUGGAGGGUCUUGUAUUAUUUCUUUAACAACUUGGCAAUUUGACUUGUAUAUAUUU